rnacentral:rRNA from 1 species
CACCGGCGCCACAAGUGGCAACCGUAAUUAUUUGGCCUAAAGCGUUCGUAGCCGGUCUAGUAAAUCUUCUGUGAAAUCGUCUGGCUUAACUAGACGACGUGCAGAAGACACUGCUAGACUUGAGAUCGGGAGGAGCUAGGGGUAUUCUUGGGGGAGCGGUAAAAUGUUGUAAUCCCUUGAAGACCACCUGUGGCGAAGGCGCCUAGCUAGAACGAAUCUGACGGUGAGGGACGAAAGCUAGGGGAGCGAUCCGG